CUCUGCAGAUAUAAUAACAGUCAACAGACUCUUCUAUUGGCUCCAGUUAGACCAACAUUGAUGCUUCAUAUGUUUGAUUCUAUGCAAACUCAGUGACCUUCCUUGUUACUCAGCUAUAAAAACUUCCCAUCAGGCUGUCAGUGGAGUUCACAGCACGUCAGUUUCAACAUAAACCAUGUUCUCUGUAGCUCUGCUGCUGCUGUUGGCAGCUGGAUGUGUGAAGUGUGAACAGUUGACACAGCCAGCCUCUGUGACUGUGCAGCCAGGUCAACGUCUGACCAUCACCUGUCAGGUCUCUUAUUCUGUUAGCAGCUACUACACAGCUUGGAUCAGACAGCCUGCAGGGAAAGGGCUGGAGUGGAUUGGAAUGGCAGCUGUUGGAUCCACCACACGCUACAAAGAUUCACUGAAGAACAAGUUCAGUAUCGACUUAGACUCUUCCAGUAAAACAGUGACUCUAAACGGACAGAAUGUGCAGCCUGAAGACUCUGCUGUGUAUUACUGUGCCAGAGAGACACAAUAACACAAACCAUCAGUAGACCUGAACAAAAACCCCUCAGUGCCUGAACACUUGUAACAUGAAGCCACCAGAGGAGGAGCCCUCAGACCACUAAUGAUUUCAACACCAGUUCACUGUUACAGUGAAGAUAGAAACAGACAUGAUAAGAAUUGAAAAAGGUAAAGAAAU